rnacentral:lncRNA from 1 species
GGAAAGUCAGCCUGUGUACCGGAAAGUCUCAGCAGAGGGUAGGCUCUGGAAAGAGCUAUUUAACCUGACGUAUGUCACCAAGUGACUCAGCCUCUCCUGAGUUCUGACUAGGCUGCAAAGACAGAUGUCUGGGGCUCUUUGGGUUCAUGGAUUAUUGACAAGUAACCCUCUUCCCCAUUUCCUUGGGGUGCUGAGUCCUGUGUUGAGCUAGCACUUUGGCCAAAGGAAGUUUGCAAGAGACUGGUAUUUCAUCAGCUCCUCGAGCAGAAUGACUCACCUGUUACUAAAUGGACACUCACAAAGCCAGGAAAGCUCCAGGAAGUCUGGGAUCUGCAGUUCAAGGCCACCACAUCACCGGCCCCCCGUGGAGUGAGUGGGACCCAGGAGAUGGGUCUGAAGGAGGAAGAAGGGCAGCUGGAAGAGACAGAGCCCCUUUCCAACAGGGCCAGAGGGAGGUCACCUUGGAGACCCCUGGAUGGUACCAUUUGCCUUCUCACUUUUGAAAUGUGGAGCUCCAAGAACCAAAAAUGAGCAACUCUUUCUAGCAACACUGUAAUCUUCCAAGAUGCAUUUAUGGAAAAUUCUCCAUGAGGUGAGCAGGCCUCCUCCACCGAGUGCUCCUGCUAUGCUGUACUCUGCUGCCACAGGCGAAGCAAAAGGACCAAGUAUGCAUGGACUGAAACUAGGAGUUAAGAUGAGUCUUCCCUCCUGUUAAAUCGAUUAUCUCAGUGCUAAGGAUUGAACCCAGGAAUCAUCAUAUGUGUUAAUGUGUUAGGGAGUCGAACUCAGGACCUGCGGUUGUCAGGGAGGUGCAGCGACACUGAGCUACAUCCUCGGCCCCAUUGCGAUACAACAUAACUAUGAAGCAGAGAACUAAGGAGCAUACAGGGUCACACAGCGGAGACUUUGAGAGUUGGUCCGGAAUCUGGCUGUUCUGCAGGCGGAGCUCAUGUUCCUAAACAUUGUAGUGUUGUACUUCAGAAUACUCUGAGCCAGAAGAUGGUUACAUGAGACUGAUUCUCUGAUUAUAAAGCUGGCAAGGUCUCAGAAAAACUAGAAAUGUUCCAGACAUCGCCAAAUGUUUGCUGUAGGGCAAAAUUGCCCCCAAUCAAGGACUCUUCAUCUAAAUAUAAGUGAUAUGCCUCAUCCUCCUCUUCAAGUUUUGCAUGUUGUAUGCACUUUUUUGAAACAUAUCACAGACAUGUGGAGGGAAGCUAACCUAACUCUAACUCUCUCAACUGCAUUCAGUGGAUCUCUAAAUGUGACUGAUUCGUUACAUGAUGGCAAAUGCAAAAUCCUAUCCGAAAGCAUGGAAUGGGGAAGGGAAGGUGAUGGUGAGGAGGAAGGUGAUGGUGAGGAGAUCACAGACGACUACAGGAGCUAUGCUGGUGAGGGGUGGCAAGGGGGCUGACUACUUCACACUUUUGUAACUCUGAUCCUUAACAAUAUGGUAUUUAUAUUUGCAACCGGGGUGAUGACUGAUUAUUAUAUUUA